AUAUAUAUAUACAGCCAAAAGUACAAGAUAGCACUCCAGGGACUUCCAAGUUGAAGUCCCUGGAGUGCUAUCUUGUACUUUUGGCUGUAUCU